UACGUAGGGUGCGAGCGUUGUCCGGAAUUAUUGGGCGUAAAGAGCUCGUAGGCGGUCUGUCGCGUCGAUCGUGAAAACUUGGGGCUUAACCCUGAGCUUGCGGUCGAUACGGGCAUGACUGGAGUUCGGCAGGGGAGACUGGAAUUCCCGGUGUAGCGGUGAAAUGCGCAGAUAUUGGGAGGAACACCAAUGGCGAAGGGCAGCUCGCUGGGACGUUACUGACGCUGAGACGCGAAAGCGUGGGGAG
rnacentral:rRNA from 1 species